UGGCUCAGAUUGAACGCUGGCGGCAGGCCUAACACAUGCAAGUCGAGCGGAAACGAUGGAAGCUUGCUUCCAGGCGUCGAGCGGCGGACGGGUGAGUAAUGCAUGGGAAUCUGCCCGAUAGUGGGGGAUAACCUGGGGAAACCCAGGCUAAUACCGCAUACGUCCUACGGGAGAAAGCAGGGGAUCUUCGGACCUUGCGCUAUCGGAUGAGCCCAUGUCGGAUUAGCUUGUUGGUGGGGUAAUGGCCUACCAAGGCGACGAUCCGUAGCUGGUCUGAGAGGAUGAUCAGCCACAUCGGGACUGAGACACGGCCCGAACUCCUACGGGAGGCAGCAGUGGGGAAUAUUGGACAAUGGGCGAAAGCCUGAUCCAGCCAUGCCGCGUGUGUGAAGAAGGCCUUCGGGUUGUAAAGCACUUUCAGUGAGGAAGAAUGCCUCUGGCUUAAUACGUCAGAGGGAAGACAUCACUCACAGAAGAAGCACCGGCUAACUCCGUGCCAGCAGCCGCGGUAAUACGGAGGGUGCGAGCGUUAAUCGGAAUUACUGGGCGUAAAGCGCGCGUAGGUGGCUUGAUAAGCCGGUUGUGAAAGCCCCGGGGUCAACCUGGGAAUGGCAUCCGGAACUGUCAGGCUAGAGUGCAGGAGAGGAAGGUAGAAUUCCCGGUGUAGCGGUGAAAUGCGUAGAGAUCGGGAGGAAUACCAGUGGCGAAGGCGGCCUUCUGGACUGACACUGACACUGAGGUGCGAAAGCGUGGGUAGCAAACAGGAUUAGAUACCCUGGUAGUCCACGCCGUAAACGAUGUCGACUACCCGCUGGGCUCCUUGAGAGCUUUGUGGCGCAAUUAACGCGAUAAGUCGACCGCCUGGGGAGUACGGCCGCCAGGUUAAAACUCAAAUGAAUUGACGGGGGCCCGCACAAGCGGUGGAGCAUGUGGUUUAAUUCGAUGCAACGCGAAGAACCUUACCUACCGCUUGGUACUUGCUGAGGCCUCUUUCCAGAGAUGGAUUGGGCCUUCGGGAACUCUCAGACAGGUGCU
rnacentral:rRNA from 1 species